UACGUAGGGGGCAAGCGUUGUCCGGAAUCAUUGGGCGUAAAGCGCGUGUAGGCGGCUUGGUAAGUCCGCUCUGAAAGCCCGGGGCUCAACCCCGGGAGGCGGGUGGAUACUGUCAAGCUCGAGUCCGGAAGAGGCGAGUGGAAUCCUGGUGUAGCGGUGAAAUGCGCAGAUAUCAGGAGGAACACCAAUGGCGAAGGCAGCUCGCUGGGGACGUGACUGACGCUGAGACGCGAAAGCGUGGGGAGCAAAACAGG
rnacentral:rRNA from 1 species